GAGUGAUCGAAAGAUGAAAAGCACCUUGAAAAGGGGGUUAAACAGUACGUGAAAUUGUUGAAAGGGAAGCGCCUGUGACCAGACUUGCGCCGGGCGGAUCAUCCAGCGUUCUCGCUGGUGCGCUCCGCCCGGCUCAGGCCAGCAUCGGUUCUGGCGGGGGGAUAAAGGCGGCGGGAACGUGGCUCCCCCGGGAGUGUUAUAGCCCGCCGUGCAAUGCCCCCGCUGGGACCGAGGUUCGCGCAUCUGCAAGGAUGCUGGCGUAAUGGUCACCAGCGACCC
rnacentral:rRNA from 1 species